rnacentral:rRNA from 1 species
ACCAGACUCCUACGGGAGGCAGCAGUGGGGGAUAUUGCACAAUGGGGGGAACCCUGAUGCAGCGACGCCGCGUGGGUGAAGAAGCGCCUCGGCGCGUAAAGCCCUGUCAGCAGGGAAGAAAAUGACGGUACCUGACUAAGAAGCCCCGGCUAACUACGUGCCAGCAGCCGCGGUAAUACGUAGGGGGCAAGCGUUAUCCGGAUUUAUUGGGUUUAAAGGGUGCGCAGGCGGAGGCACAAGUCAGCGGUAAAAUCGCGGGGCUCACCCCCGCUCCGCCGUUGAAACUGUGUCCCUUGAGUGCGUGAAGGGUAGGCGGAAUGCGUGGUGUAGCGGUGAAAUGCAUAGAUAUCACGCAGAACUCCGAUCGCGAAGGCAGCCUACCGGCGCGCAACUGACGCUCAUGCACGAAAGCGUGGGUAUCGAACAGGAUUAGAUACCCCCGUACA